rnacentral:rRNA from 1 species
UACGUAGGGGGCGAGCGUUGUCCGGAUUUAUUGGGCGUAAAGAGCGCGCAGGCGGUCGUUCAAGUCGCGUGUGAAAGCCCCCGGCUCAACUGGGGAGGGUCAUUCGAUACUGAUCGACUCGAAGGCAGGAGAGGGAAGUGGAAUUCCCGGUGUAGUGGUGAAAUGCGUAGAUAUCGGGAGGAACACCAGUGGCGAAGGCGACUUCCUGGCCUGUUCUUGACGCUGAGGCGCGAAAGCUAGGGGAGCAAACAGG